rnacentral:rRNA from 1 species
GACGAACGCUGGCGGCGUGCUUAACACAUGCAAGUCGAACGGAAAGGCCCUGCUUUUGUGGGGUGCUCGAGUGGCGAACGGGUGAGUAACACGUGAGUAACCUGCCCUUGACUUUGGGAUAACUUCAGGAAACUGGGGCUAAUACCGGAUAGGAGCUCCUGCUGCAUGGUGGGGGUUGGAAAGUUUCGGCGGUUGGGGAUGGACUCGCGGCUUAUCAACUUGUUGGUGGGGUAGUGGCUUACCAAGGCUUUGACGGGUAGCCGGCCUGAGAGGGUGACCGGCCACAUUGGGACUGAGAUACGGCCCAGACUCCUACGGGAGGCAGCAGUGGGGAAUAUUGCACAAUGGGCGGAAGCCCGAUGCAGCAACGCCGCGUGCGGGAUGACGGCCUUCGGGUUGUAAACCGCUUUCGCCUGUGACGAAGCGUGAGUGACGGUAAUGGGUAAAGAAGCACCGGCUAACUACGUG